rnacentral:rRNA from 1 species
UACAGAGGGUGCGAGCGUUGUUCGGAAUUAUUGGGCGUAAAGGGCGCGUAGGCGGUGCCACAAGUCACUUGUGAAAUCUCCGGGCUUAACUCGGAGCCUGCAGGCGAAACUGUGGUGCUGGAGUGUGGGAGAGGUGCGUGGAAUUCCCGGUGUAGCGGUGAAAUGCGUAGAUAUCAGGAGGAAUACCUGUGGCGAAAGCGGCGCACUGGACCACAACUGACGCUGAGGCGCGAAAGCUAGGGGAGCAAACAGG